CUUAAUCUUCUUCUCUAGUGGGGAAAAAGGACCUGCUGCAAUCCAAGGGUCUUGAGUCUUUCUAGCCCAGGCCAAU
rnacentral:lncRNA from 1 species